AAUGGGCGCAAGCCUGAUCCAGCCAUGCCGCGUGGAUGAAGAAGGCCCUAGGGUUGUAAAGUCCUUUCAAUGGUGAAGAUAAUGACGGUAGCCAUACAAGAAGCCCCGGCUAAUUUCGUGCCAGCAGCCGCGGUGAUACGAAAGGGGCAAGCGUUGUUCGGAAUUACUGGGCGUAAAGCGCACGUAGGCGGCCUUGUAAGUUGGGGGUGAAAUCCCGGAGCUCAACUCCGGAACUGCCUCCAAAACUACAAAGCUAGAGGAUGUGAGAGGAUAGUGGAAUUCCGAGUGUAGAGGUGAAAUUCGUAGAUAUUCGGAAGAACACCAGUGGCGAAGGCGACUGUCUGGCACAUUUCUGACGCUGAGGUGCGAAAGCGUGGGGAGCAAACAGGAUU
rnacentral:rRNA from 1 species